rnacentral:rRNA from 1 species
GGGUUGUGAGGUUAAGCGACUAAGCGUACACGGUGGAUGCCCUGGCAGUCAGAGGCGAUGAAGGACGUGCUAAUCUGCGAUAAGCGCCGGUAAGGUGAUAUGAACCGUUAUAACCGGCGAUUUCCGAAUGGGGAAACCCAGUGUGAUUCGUCACACUAUCAUUAACUGAAUCCAUAGGUUAAUGAGGCGAACCGGGGGAACUGAAACAUCUAAGUACCCCGAGGAAAAGAAAUCAACCGAGAUUCCCCCAGUAGCGGCGAGCGAACGGGGAGGAGCCCAGAGCCUGAAUCAGCAUGUGUGUUAGUGGAAGCGUCUGGAAAGGCGCGCGAUACAGGGUGACAGCCCCGUACACAAAAGCGCAUGUGCUGUGAGCUCGAUGAGUAGGGCGGGACACGUGGUAUCCUGUCUGAAUAUGGGGGGACCAUCCUCCAAGGCUAAAUACUCCUGACUGACCGAUAGUGAACCAGUACCGUGAGGGAAAGGCGAAAAGAACCCCGGCGAGGGGAGUGAAAAAGAACCUGAAACCGUGUACGUACAAGCAGUGGGAGCCCCACCACUAAGCCAGUGGUGAACUCCACAUCCGCAUCCUUUGCUGAGGAUACGGUUAACGGAGCGAAAGCGACGUUCAACCGCAAAACAAGCAGAGGGGGCUUAGUGGUGGGGUGACUGCGUACCUUUUGUAUAAUGGGUCAGCGACUUAUAUUCUGUAGCAAGGUUAACCGAAUAGGGGAGCCGGAGGGAAACCGAGUCUUAAUUGGGCGUUAAGUUGCAGGGUAUAGACCCGAAACCCGGUGAUCUAGCCAUGGGCAGGUUGAAGGUUGGGUAACACUAACUGGAGGACCGAACCGACUAAUGUUGAAAAAUUAGCGGAUGACCUGUGGCUGGGGGUGAAAGGCCAAUCAAACCGGGAGAUAGCUGGUUCUCCCCGAAAGCUAUUUAGGUAGCGCCUCGUGAAUUCAUCUCCGGGGGUAGAGCACUGUUUCGGCUAGGGGGCCAUCCCGGCUUACCAACCCGAUGCAAACUGCGAAUACCGGAGAAUGUUAUCACGGGAGACACACGGCGGGUGCUAACGUCCGUCGUGAAGAGGGAAACAACCCAGACCGCCAGCUAAGGUCCCAAAGUCAUGGUUAAGUGGGAAACGAUGUGGGAAGGCCCAGACAGCCAGGAUGUUGGCUUAGAAGCAGCCAUCAUUUAAAGAAAGCGUAAUAGCUCACUGGUCGAGUCGGCCUGCGCGGAAGAUGUAACGGGGCUAAACCAUGCACCGAAGCUGCGGCAGCGAACGUAUCACCCAAGACAACUUUACGGAGUUGACGAUUGACGGAGCGAAGCGACGUCAAAGCGUUCAUUAAAGUCGAGUUGGCUUAGGGAUACGUUCGUUGGGUAGGGGAGCGUUCUGUAAGCCUGUGAAGGUGUGUCGUGAGGCAUGCUGGAGGUAUCAGAAGUGCGAAUGCUGACAUAAGUAACGAUAAAGCGGGUGAAAAGCCCGCUCGCCGGAAGACCAAGGGUUCCUGUCCAACGUUAAUCGGGGCAGGGUGAGUCGACCCCUAAGGCGAGGCCGAAAGGCGUAGUCGAUGGGAAACGGGUUAAUAUUCCCGUACUUGGUGUUACUGCGAAGGGGGGACGGAGAAGGCUAUGUUGGCCGGGCGACGGUUGUCCCGGUUUAAGCGUGUAGGUGUGUGUUCCAGGUAAAUCCGGUUCACUUUAACACUGAGGCGUGACGACGAGGCACUACGGUGCUGAAGCAACAAAUGCCCUGCUUCCAGGAAAA